AGGGAUCUCUUUGGGGAUCACUUCAUAGUGCAUUCCCGGGGUUUUUCUCCCCCUAAAAUUCUGGGGAAUAUUUUCACCACGAGGGGGAGUUAGUUUUAAUCCCCUGACGGGAAGCGGCUCACAAGUUUUUUGCUUGAGAUUUUUGAUGACCGUUCUGACUCUUUUUUUUUCCGAGGGUUGAGAGGAGGAUCACAAGGUAUGAUUAAA